UACGUAGGGUGCAAGCGUUGUCCGGAAUUAUUGGGCGUAAAGAGCUCGUAGGCGGUCUGUCGCGUCUGCUGUGAAAACUCAGGGCUUAACCCUGAGCUUGCAGUGGGUACGGGCAGACUAGAGUGCGGUAGGGGAGACUGGAAUUCCGUGGUGUAGCGGUGAAAUGCGCAGAUAUCAGGAGGAACACCGGUGGCGAAGGCGGGUCUCUGGGCCGUAAGCUGACGC
rnacentral:rRNA from 1 species